rnacentral:rRNA from 1 species
UACGGGGGGGGCAAGCGUUGUUCGGAAUUACUGGGCGUAAAGGGCGCGUAGGCGGUUUGCUAAGUUGGAUGUGAAAACUCUGGGCUUAACCCAGAGCCUGCAUCCAAAACUGGCUAACUUGAGUACUGGAGGGGAAAGCGGAAUUCCUGGUGUAGCGGUGAAAUGCGUAGAUAUCAGGAGGAACACCGGUGGCGAAGGCGGGUCUCUGGGCCGAUACUGACGCUGAGGAGCGAAAGCGUGGGGAGCGAACAGG